rnacentral:tRNA from 1 species
UGUGGCUCAGUGGUAGAGCACUUGCCUCCCAUGCAUGGGAUCCUGGUUCAAUCCCAGCA